rnacentral:tRNA from 1 species
GCCCGGGUGGCUCAGUUGGUUGAGCGUCUCCGAGUCUGGAUUUCAGAUCAAGCCAUGAUCCCAGGGUGGUGGGAUCGAAUCCCACUUUGGGCU